UGCAUGGUUGUCGUCAGCUCGUGUCGUGAGAUGUUGGGUUAAGUCCCGCAACGAGCGCAACCCCUAUUGUUAGUUGCCAUCAUUCAGUUGGGCACUCUAGCGAGACUGCCGGUAAUAAACCGGAGGAAGGUGGGGAUGACGUCAAGUCAUCAUGCCCCUUAUGACCUGGGCUACACACGUGCUACAAUGGUUGGUACAACGAGUUGCGAGUCGGUGACGGCGAGCUAAUCUCUUAAAGCCAAUCUCAGUUCGGAUUGUAGGCUGCAACUCGCCUACAUGAAGUCGGAAUCGCUAGUAAUCGCGGAUCAGCACGCCGCGGUGAAUACGUUCCCGGGCCUU
rnacentral:rRNA from 1 species